UAGAUACUUAAGAUUUCAGAGUUGAGUGUAAUGAUUUAAGUUUUAUUUGUGGAUUUGGACUGAUUUUAACCAAAAUUUAGUAUAUAUAAGUUUUGAUUAUUAUCUUGUGUGCUUAUUUACAUUCCCAUUGUUGGUACCCUUUGGGUUUUGUUCUUAAUCUUAGAUUGAAGGAUCGAGAGGUGAAAAUCUAUAAUAGAUAAUAAAGAUAAUGAACUUAAUCACUCAGUAGUAGAAAUAAACUAGUGUUAAGAGGA
rnacentral:misc_RNA from 1 species